GGGAUUGAGUGAUGUAGUGGCCAGGGAUUGGGGAAGCUUGUGACAUCACUAGGAGUGGCUUGUGUUAUCACUAGUCGCCGGGAGGUAGUGAGUAUCAGAUGACUUUCUUGGCAGGAAAAAGAGGCAUGAUGGAAAGAAGAAGGCUGUCCUUCAGUGGGAGAAGCCAUAUUGUUAGGAAGCAUUUCUUCAACUUAUUACA
rnacentral:lncRNA from 1 species